rnacentral:rRNA from 1 species
AUUGAACGCUGGCGGCAUGCCUUACACAUGCAAGUCGAACGGCAGCACGGGAGCAAUCCUGGUGGCGAGUGGCGAACGGGUGAGUAAUAUAUCGGAACGUGCCCAGUAGUGGGGGAUAACUGCUCGAAAGAGCAGCUAAUACCGCAUACGACCUGAGGGUGAAAGGGGGGGAUCGCAAGACCUCUCGCUAUUGGAGCGGCCGAUAUCAGAUUAGCUAGUUGGUGGGGUAAAGGCCUACCAAGGCAACGAUCUGUAGUUGGUCUUAGAGGACGACCAGCCAGACUGGGACUGAGACACGGCCCAGACUCCUACGGGAGGCAUCAGUGGGGAAUUUUGGACAAUGGGCGCAAGCCUGAUCCAGCAAUGCCGCGUGCAGGAAGAAGGCCUUCGGGUUGUAAACUGCUUUUGUCAGGGAAGAAAUCCUCUAGGUUAAUACCCUUGGGGGGAUGACGGUACCUGAAGAAUAAGCACCGGCUAACUACGUGCCAGCAGCCGCCGUAACAC